AUAACAUGUUAGUUAUAUUAGCUAUGCUGACUAUGACGUUACUUUAGCUAAUAUGGUGACAACGAUGUAGGCUGUUUGUAAAGGUUUGGCUUGGAAAGUGUUUUUUUCGCCUGGUCACAUACAGCUGAUUUGUUGUAAACUGAAGUCCACGAGCAAAUAGAAGAGAAGGAAUUCAACGAGAGUGAACUCUGUUUACGCGUGAUCAGCACGCUCCAGCACUUCCUUGGACACCUGUCUUUGAGAGGGAGAACAUCUGUGGUAUGAUCCAAGGGCUGGAAGACCAGGCAGACUGGAGCACGGUGACCCAGGCCCCCAGCGGGCCCACCACGGAGUAAUCCAACAUGGGCAAAUGCACCGGCUUGGGCUACUUCAUGCACUUGAGCACUGCCACAGGCAAACCAGCAGACACAGCCAGGCUGGACAGCAGACUACUCUACCUUGAGAGGCUACCAGUGCCUGCAGUUCUUCCUCUAGAACAGUGGGACCGCCAACGAUCAGCUGGUUCGAGAGUACGAUGAAGCCCACCCCAACCGGAACCAGCGAGUUAUUUAGCUCAUAGUUGGUAACAUCUCUAACAUCAGUAGUUUAGACCUAUCGUAUUGUUUUUUAUUAACCUGUUUUAAUGUGUAUAAUAUAGAAUCAUUAGGGAGACUAGCCUAGCAGUAAGCGUUGGGCCCAUAACCGAAAGGUUGCUGGUUCGAUUACCCAAGCUGACAAGAUGAAUAAUCUGUCGAUGUACUCUUGAGUAAAGCACUUAACCCUAAUUUGUUCCAGGGGCGCCGUACCACUAUGGCUGAUCCUGUAAAACAACACAUUUCACUGCACCUAUCAGGUGUAUGUAACAAUAUUUAUAUACAGUACCAGUCAAAAGUUUGGACACCUACUCAUUCAACGGUUUUUCUUUAUUUGUACAUUGUAGAAUAAUAGUGAAGACAUCAACUAUGAAAUAACAAUAUGGAAUCAUGUAGUAAGAUUCUUCAAAGUCUUGAUGACCGCUUUGCACACUCUUGACAUUCUCAACCAGCUUCAUGAAGUAGUCAGUCCAGGGCCAGUAUUCAUUAAAGGGAUAGUUCACCCAAAUUACUAAAUUACACAUUUCCUUACCCUGUAAGCAGUCUAUGGACAAGGUUUUUCAGCAAUCCAUGCUUUGGUUUAGUUUCUCUUGCACAAGUUUCCAAAAGGUAACGUUUUAGCAUUUGUGGCACAAAUCCCAUCCAAGUCCUGGUACCGAUAUUAGCAUUUUGGGCUCAUCAUUUUCAAAUCAUCUAUAAGUGACUUGUUGAGCUUCACAGUCAGUUUUAGAUACUUUAAUUAUAUCAAUCCAUAGACUGCUUACAGGGAAGGAAACCAAUGUGUAAUUUGGGUGAACUGUCCCGAGUGGCACAGCGAUCACAGGCACUGCAUCUCAGUGCUAGAGGUGUCACUACAGAUCCUGGUUCGAUUCCAGGCUGUAUCACAACUGGCUGUGAUUGGGAGUCCCAAAGGGCGGCGCACAAUUGGCACAGCAUCAUCCGGGUUAGAGUUUGGCCCGGGUUGGCCAUCAUUGUAAAUAAGAAUUUGUUCUUAACUGUCUUGCCUAGUUAAAAUAAGCACCUCAGAGUGGGAGUGCUGAUCUAGGAUCAGGUUCCCCCUAUCCAUUAAAUAUUAUUCAUUAUGAUUCUAGAUCAGCACUUUCUGAGAUGCCUAAUUAAUAUGGACCAAGACAAGUGCAGAAAGAUUUGAGACAAAGGGAAUUCCUUUAAGACACGGAGUUACAUUCCAUUGACAGAUGAGUGAAAUUGCCAUUAUUUUCUGAGAUUUUCCACCUGGUUUUGCACUGACUUAAAGUAGCAGUCUUGUAACGUCAUAGAUGAAGUCAUGUAUACAGUAUAUUGAGAAACCUUUCAGAACUUCUUGACUUCAGAGCUGUUCUUCUGGGAAGACCCUCGUAAGAUGGGCAUUGAGCUGUCAGAGGCGGAUGGGACCAAAUAUUUCCAUGGGAGGGCACCGGGACACCCGUGUACCAGGCCCAUGGCAGGGCCAAGAGCAGGGAUUUCAUCAAUGGGGGAGACACCAUCUUCAUGCUCACCAUGGAGGGUUGUGGUGGUCCCCCUAUUUACCAACACGUCCACAUCAUAUGAAGAUGUGUCCCACCCGUCCCCUCUACGCGCCACCCGUCACCAUGGUUACCACCGCCAUGCCGCACUCUGACCCCUGCACUAACAUUACAUGUGGGAAUGAGGGAGUCUGUAUUGGAUGCUGGAAAUGCUGUUUGCAGGUGUGCAGUUGGUGAUGACUGGUGGUACUAUGGAGAGACUUGUCAGUAUCCUGGCUUCACCCAGGACACGGUGACCACAGCGCUGAUAGCCUCUUUCUCUGUGCUGGGUGGCAUGUUGGUGGUGACCGUGGCCAGUGUGGUGUGUGUGAAGAGGAAUCACAAGAACAGUGGUGGUGGUGGAGACUGGGGCAUCACAAUGUUCAAUGUCAGCACUACAGGGAUGUAGUGUGUUUUUUCUCCCUGCCAGCACCAAAACGACCCAUGGCCAGCAUUAAGUAGAUGUAAUGAAUAUAUGCUAUGAAGUGUGCCUACAGUAUUGUUUACGGUAGAUGCUGCAUUACUGUUGCUGACAUGUCAUUUCCAUCAUACCAGGAUCUUAAGUUUUAAAUGCAGAUAAUUAUUUUUAAAAUAUGCAUACCAUUUUUCCUAUAGUUGCAGUCAUAGAAUGGAUGGUUUUAGCAGCAUAUCAUUACAGUGCUUCUAUGGUUAGUUUCAUAUUUUCUGUAAUGACCUUAGUGAUCACUGUUUUACAGCCUGUGUUCGUAAUGGCUGCUCAGUGACACGACCUGUCCUGAU